UCGGUACCCGGCUUCCACCGAACACAAUGUUGACGUAAAUCUCUCCAGUGGUAGACGGAUAACGGGUAGAUAUCCCUUGCCAUCAAGUUAACCAUGGGAAGUUUUCGUGGUUUUCCUCUCCAUAUAACGCAAAGUGGGUUGGUUCCAUAAGAAAAGUAACGAACGUAAAUUUCUCCCAAUCCAGAAAAUCUCUUGUCUCUGGGAAGGUUUCAAAAUUACAAGAUAACGGAGUUGAACAUUGGCAGUAGUGGACUAGAAAUUGGGUCGGUUGUUCAACAGCGGUUAUAAAAUAAAAUAAAAAGUCCACCCUCGCGGACACGAAAAUGGUAGGAACAAAAAUAGAAAACGUUUAACAAGUAUUCAUUAUUAAACGCAUGGAGUAAGAUCCAGAUAGAAACUACUAACAUCCGAAAAAGAAAUAUGUCAAAUCUAUGAGAAUUUGAAUAAAUUUGGAAUUUAUAUAAUGAUUUUACGCACGAGGGAAGAAAAGGAAGCCAUUAAAGAGCAAUUAUCUAUAAAGUCGUUGGGUAAAAAAAUGGUCAUAAUGCUAAAAAUCAACAUAAAGGGCAGAUCAACUGAGAUAAUGUCGCCAAGUUUUCAAUUGAGCUCCCUUGAAGGAAAAGUGAAGAGAAUGUUGACACUUUUUAAACCAAAUUUAGAAGAUUACAAAUGAUUAAGUUAUGCUUCGUUGAUUUGAGUGAAGGUUUAAGCGUUUUAAGAGUAUAACUACAACCGGAAGAAGAUCUUAUGAGCUAGGUGGAGCUUUUCGAAGCUUUUGUCUUAAUUUUUCGGAAAUAUAGUGAUGGAAAGGAAGUAUUUUUUCAUUUCCGAUGUCGUUUAGAGUAUUUAAUAUGUGAAAGAUCUUAAAAUUACAUCAGUUGACGUUUAGUUAUUGUUGUGUUAGUUGCAAGUUCCCCAGAUCUACAAUGAAUAACUUAAUGAAAAUCGUUUGGUUUUCCAUUUUUAUAAUGCUAUUAUCGUCUGCCAUCUUCGUGGAAGGACAACAUUUCUCAUCUGGAAUUUUCGGAGGUGGAUUUGGGAGUGGCGGAGGGCAUAAUAAUAACCAUGGGUUAGAAGCUUUGCUGGCAGUGGGACUUCUAGCAAAACUGCUUUCUCAUCACCAUCAUGGGCAUCAUCACCAUGGGCAUCAUCACCAUGGGCAUCAUCAUCAUGGGUAUCAUCAUCAUGGACAUCAUCACGGUUUAGAACUGAGUUCAGAACAGAUUCCAUACAUACUUGGGUAUGAAGGAAUAAAUCAUGGUUUAGAAUUUUACUGAUAAUUUCUGUAGCUCAUUUAAUUUAAUUCAUUGUAAUAUAUACUACACUCAUUGUGAUAUAAGCCAUUUAAUGUAAAUAAAGUUAAAUCAUUUUUAGUUUC